CUAAAAAUGUUUCCCCAAAACAUUUCCUUUUGCGCUUCUCCGCCUUCCCCUUCUUUGGUUACUGCAAUUCCCUAAAAGUUCUUUUUAUUCUCUGGUUCUCUGCUCCCCCUCUCUGGUUCUCUACUCCCCCUCUCUCGUUCUUUGCUCCUUCCCUUCUCUAGUUUCUAACAAAGGCGCGAAAUUCAUCAUUCACAAAUACACCGACGACUAGUCGCGUCGCCGCUGUUGUUCCCCUACCGCCGUGUAGCCGCUGCUGUUCCCCCAUCGCCCAAUCCGUCCUCUUUUUGCCGCCGCCGCAACACACACUCGUCGCUUCUCCUUGUCGCUUAUAGUUGAGGUUGUUGCAGGAUCAACAAUUUGGUUAGGUAAAGGGCUUUCCUGUGUUUGUGCUCAAAGAAGAGAUAGUGAUGCUCGACCAUCAUUUGAUUUGACUCCUACUCAGGAAGAGUGCUUGUAACUGCUGCAGAGCCGUAUAGAUGUUCAAUAUGACAGUUCAAACCCAGACCACCAGGAUACACAAAGAUCACAAACAGUACACAAAAGAUAAUUAAUGAGAAUUAGGUCAGGCAGCAGUAUGCGGGAGAUCAGAUGUUGAAAUUACUGCUACAAUCAUGAAAUUAUGGAUCUCAACCAAUUACAAAGUGUUAUUUUUACUUGAAAAUGGAGUUCUUAUAACUUGUGGAAUUGGAGGUCAUGACUGCAUUCAAACCAUUGGAGUUCUUUGGAUCAGCUUUUGAUGCUUUGUAUCCUUUUGCAACAUUAGCAUACAGAAUAACUUGUGUUGGAUGUGUCUGAUUAUUUGUGUAGAGUUAGAUACAUUCCUGCAUGCUGCAAUAUUAUCAACUAGUCAAUAAAAACAUCACACUUUUCCUAGUAGAUACUGGAGCGCAAUAAUUAUUCUUGGUGUUUCAGUUUGUUCGUCAAAGAUAGUUGUCUGAAAUUGUGUCAUACUGAAAUGAGAAACAAUGAGUUCAUAAUACUUCUUGGAAAGCAAGCAAUGUCUCUCUUGUUUAUUUACAAACAACUAUUUAUAAACAACAUGUGCAACAUUGCUAUGUUUUGAAUGAUGCAAGUAUAGAUAUUCAUGUAAAUAAAGUGCUUAAAAUUGUGACAAGAAUCCUUAUCCUACAUCUCGGAUAUUUUUCUGUUCUCGCAACACUGAAAACAAGCAAGCUGCAGGAAGUUUCGUAAUGCUUGAAAUUCUGGUUGGUGGCCAGCAAAAUGUCAUGUUAGUUAUAUCAAUGAUGUCUCCUUUCUUCCUCCCUUCAAUGUGCACAUCAGUUUCAGUGUCUUCGGUCUACUAUUCAAGGUAUUCAAUAAUUUGAGGGAGCGGCCUUUCACCUUUGAGGAGAUAGAUGAAGUUCGAGAAAUGUUGACAAACUUCAUUACCAGUGAUUGUCUUUGAUAUUUUCUUGUACUGAAUCUUAAAUUAUGGAUGCUAGCUAGUUUUUCAUAUGAUUGUAAUGUAAUCGACUUUUAUAUUUACAAUUAUAUACUAUUUAAUUUAAUUAUCUAUAUAAUUGAAUACUUUUUAUAUGA